GAUUAACGCUGGCGGCGUGCAUAACACAUGCCAGUCGAACGAUGAAACUUAAAUGAUUUCUUCGGAAUGAACUUAAGUGGAUUAGUGGCGGACGGGUGAGUAACGCGUGAGUAACCUGCCUUACACAAGGGGAUAGCCGUUGGAAACGACGAAUAAUACCCUAUGAAACUAUCACUUCGCAUGAAGCGAUAGUCAAAGUGUUAGCGGUGUAAGAUGGACUUGCGUCUGAUUAGCUAGUUGGUGAGAAAAAAGCCCACCAAGGCAACGAUCAGUAGCCGGCUGGGGGAGGGGAACGGCAACAUUGGAACUGGGACACGGCCCAGACCCCUACGGGAGGAAGAAGGGGGGAAUUUGGAAAAAGGGGGGAAACCCUGAUGCAGCGACGCCGCGUGAUUUAGAAGGCCUUCGGGUUGUAAAAAUCUUUUGUAUAGGAAGAAAAUGACAGUACUAUACGAAUAAGGUCCGGCUAAUUACGUG
rnacentral:rRNA from 1 species